UGGCUCAGUUGGUAGAGCAUGGUGUUUGCAACACCAGGGUUGUGGGUUCAAUUCCCAC
rfam:Salmo salar isolate Sally breed double haploid chromosome ssa04, whole genome shotgun sequence.